ACUGCAGUCCCUUUUCUCUCAGUCUUCUUUCGCUCCGGCGAGGCCUCGCGCGGCGUUGCUGUAACUGUCUGUGCACGAAUACCAGUGGAAAGUCGAGGUUUUUGUCUUCUCUGUUCCUGCAACGAAACAGAGUUUUUAAACCUCAGGACAUUUUCGAUAUCUUUCAAAGUUUUUUGAGAAUUUAGCAUUGAUUGAGUGAUUGAUUUUACCUUGAUGGUUAACAGGGUGGAGAUUUUGUCGGCUCUAAGAUGGUUGGAAAAUGAAGAACCAGCUAAAGUUGUCUCUUUUAGAGAAGCAUUGAAUUUUCCCUGCAAAACCACCAUUGGCAUACUGAGGUAAGUUCUCGAGACGAGACAAUUCUCCAUUUUUCUCAAACUAUUGUGAAAAGAUGAAUCAGUAAUUGUGAAAACACACCUCUUUUUGGAUUGAAAUGGUUGAAGGAAGAAGAGAACAAGCAGAUUGAAGAGCCAUUGUUGUACGGAACCAGAAGGUGCUAGAGUG
rnacentral:lncRNA from 1 species